rnacentral:lncRNA from 1 species
AUGAGGCAGAGGUAGGCAGAUCCAUGAGUUCAAGGCCAGACUGGUCUACAAAGUGAGUUCCAGGACAUCCAGGACUACACAGAAAAACCCUGUCUCAAAAGAAUAGGUAGGUAGGUAGGUAGGUAGGUAGGUAGGUAGGUAGGUAGAUAGAUAGAUAGAUAGAUAGAUAGGUGUCCCAGAAUGAUGGACUUUCCAAGAACAGCUUCCUACCUUCCUUCCUUCCUUCCUUCCUUCCUUCCUCCCUCCCUCUCGCUCUCUCUUUCUUUUUAAAAAAAUUAAAAUUAAAAUUUUAUUUGUGUGUGUGUGUGUGUGUGCAUGCAUGUGUGUGCGUGUGCAUAUGCACAUGAAUACAGGUGCCUACAGAAGCCAGAAGAGGCUCUGAGAGCCCUUGAACCUAGAGUUGCAGGCCAUUGUGAGCCACUCAGCCUGGUUUCCAGGAACCAAACUCUAGGCCCCUGGAAGAGCAACAAGCAUUCUUAACCACUGAGCUCACCGACCACCACCACCACCACACCCCCCACCAUCCUCUCUCUCUCUCUCUCUCUCUCCCUCUCUCUCUCUCUCUCUCUCUCUUCCUUUGAGACAGGGACUCCGUAGUGGCCUUGAACUCACAGGACUCCUCAGACUUAGAGCACUGCAGGCAAGAACCACCACACCUAGAUUUUGGGGACUCAGGAUAGCAUUUUCAUACUGGUCAUGUUGAGCAGCCUUUCCCUUCCCUGCCCUAUCUCCACCCAUCUCCAUAUGUGCCGUUGGAAUAACAUCAUCUCCGAUGUGCUCUUCUGAAUCUUUUGUCUCCUACUUGUAACCUUGGGCUUUUCUACCCUCACCCAGUUCCCGGAUAAUGACUUGGAGACUUGUGUUUUAUAAAUAAAUGCCUAGGCCAUAGACUUUGGCUUGUUUCCCAACUAGCUUGGAACUUAUAUUAAGUUUAUACUAUUCUAUGUCUGCCACAUGGCUGGUAACCUCAGUUUCAUAUGUCCAACUUCCAGAAGAGGACAUCAGAUCUUAUUAUAGACAGCUAUGAGCUAUCAUGUAGUUUCUGGGAAUUGAACUCAGGACCUCUAGAAGAGCAGCCAGUGAUCUUAACCUCUGAGCCAUUUCUCUAGUCCUGAUAUAUAUUUUUUUCAUGUUUGCCUUUUGACUCCCAGGCUAGCAUCUAACUCCGUGUAUCACCUGUACCUUAGUUACUUUUCUGUUGCUGUGAAGAGGCACCAUGACCAAGGCAGCUUAGAAAGGAAAGCAUUUAACUGGGGGCUUGCAUAUAGUUACAGAGGAUGAAUCCACGGUCAUCGUGGUGGGGAGCAUGGCAGCUGACAUGGAGGCAUGGUGCUGGAGAGCAGUAGCUGAGCGCUUACACGCUGGGGCAACAACAGAGAGAGAGAGAGAGAGAGAGACAGAGACAGAGACAGAGACAGAGACAGAGACCUUUAUAUUUCUUUGCAAAGCUUUUGACCUUAGCUUGUUCCCCAACUAGCUCGUAACUUAUAUUAACCUGGUUAUGCUAUUCUAUGUCUGUCACAUGGCUAAUACCUCUCCUCAGUUUCAUACAUCCAACUUCUGAGUCUGGGUGGUGAAUUCCUGGGCUCUCUCUCUGGCUCUCUCUCUCUCUCUCUCUCUCUCUCUCUCUCUCUCUCUCUCUCUCUCCCCAGAGUUCCUCUCUCUCUGCCAGGUGUCCCAUCUUACUAUCCUGCCUUUUGCUAUAGGCCAUGGCUUUUUAUUUGAACCAAUCAGGAGGUGCCUUAGGUAGGUAAAGAAGGAUAAACACACACCUUCACACAGUGUACAAAAGUAUCAUUCCAACACUUACUGAUGAGCCAUCUCUCCAGCCUCCGUUUGAUUUCUUGAGACAAAGCAUCCUAUAUCCCAGACUUGAGACAAAGUAUCCUAUAUCCUAGACUUGAGACAAAGUAUCCUAUAUCCCAGACUUGAGACAAAGUAUCCUAUAUCCCAGACUGGCCUCAUACUUGCUCUGUAAUCAAGGAAGACCUUGAACUCUUUAGAUCUUUUUGCCUUCAACCCCAGCAUUCUGGAGGCAGGGGCAGGAGGAUCAUCACAAAUUAUAAAGUGUAGCCUGGUUUACUUAGUGAAUAUCAGGCCAGCCUGGUCAACAUAUCCAAUGAGUCAUAUUAGCGGCAUACAAUUUACUUUUAUUUUUUCAUUUUUAUAGUUUUUGGUUAGACAGUAUCUCCAAGUACAAAGGCUGGCCUUGAACUUCUAACACUUUUGCCUCUGUGUAAUCAGUGCUGGAAUUAUAGGUGUAUAUGGCUAUGUUCUAUUUCAAGCUCACAAUUUAUCAUUAAUGUAUUUUAUCAUUAAUUUAUUUAGUUUUGAGACAGGGUCUCUCUACGCAGCCCUGGCUAGUCUGAAACUUGCUUGCUAUGUAUACCAGGCUGGCCUCAAGCUCAAAGGAUGCCCAUCUCUGCUUCUGGAGUGCUUAAAGUCCAGGGACUUAAAGGGAUUAACGUCCUCUGUCACCCCCCUUGGCUAUUCCUAUUAUUGUUGACAUGGAGUCUCCGUAUGUAGGUCCGGCUGGCUUUGAACUGAACCUGGAAAUCCUCUUGCCUCCUAUUGAACAUUUGGUCACUUGGUUUGUUUCUGUGGUCCACCCCUGUAAUCACAGCACAUGGGAAGUUGAGGCAGCAGGAUGAGGACACCAAGGGAGUCCUCCACAAUAAACCUAGUUUUAGGCAUUUCUCGAGUAUAUGGGAACAUGUCUGAAAACAAAAACAAAACAAAACAAACUAAAGCCAAAACAACAACAUUGCCAGCAGGGUGAGUGUUGUGGGGUGGGGCAGAUUGCUGCCUGUCUGGUGGCCCGAGGCAGGGAGGUCACAGAAGGGCUGGGCUGGCUUAUGAAUAAGAAGGAAAGGGGCCCCUGUUUGUUUCUAUUGCCAUAUAACAUUUCACUGAAUGAACAUACCUUAUCUUUUCACUUUAUGCUUCACGUGGGAGUUUUUUAAAAAAUACACCAGCCAGAGUUUAUUGUAGGUUCCUCUGCUUUCCCCAGGGACAGAAGACAGGCUCGUGCCCAAUGAACAUAAUCAACAGCUAACUCAAAUGUACCCCUAGCUCAGAGCUAUUAGCUGAAGCCGCACUCCUCAUCGCCAAAGAAUCCCCAUCAGGACCAGCAGCAGCCUGUGGGAAGGAUCCAAAAUAUCUGAUGCCUAGACCCAUUCCAGACUGUGGAUUAUCAACCCAGCCUGAUAACCCAGCCUGUGGGUAGCCACAUUCUCCCAUAGGUGGCGCUGUUUCCCUGUUUUCUUUGUAAUGACGUAGAGCAAACCUAAGACUUCAUCUGUGUUGGGGAAUGAAGGCUUUGCCACCGACCUCCAUUGCUAGACCUGUUUUCCUUUGUAUGGUUAUUUUUACAUCUUAUUCUCUGAUUUUAGUUUAUGUUCCCUGAAGUAGAAAACCUAAUUUCUUAAUGUCUGUGUUUUUUUCCACGAGGAUAUAAAACCAGCAGAAGAUGCUCAGGGUACCACCCAGCUUAUGCCCUGCAUCUCCCGUUCACAGUCUUUGCCCUACAGGAAGUCCCAGGUCACCUGCGAUGAAGGUGUGGACGAUUCUCCACUGCAGAGAAUGGCAAGAUCUCACUCUGGUAUUGGUUUUGAGGGAAGGUUUAAAAUGCACGGUGAGAUAGAAGGACAGAGUAUGGAGACACAAAUCUACGAAGCAAUUAUGCUAUGGAUUGGUGGUGACGAAAGUAAGAAAUGUGAGGGAAAAACAUUGAACUAUUUAAUCUACCACUGCAGACUCUUGAGUAGGAGAAUGGGCGACUUUCUGGAAACCUUUUAUUAUUAUUAUUUUUAGAUUAUUUUAUUUUAUGUGUUGUGAGUGGGGUCCGAAGAGGGUGCCAGAUAUCCUAAAACUGGAGUUAAUGGAUGUUUGUGAGCCAUCAUGUGGCUUACAAUCACCUGAAUUACAGCAAGAGGGGAUCAAAGCCUUUGGCCUCCAGAGACAUUGGUACUUAUAUGCAGGAGCUUGCACUCAUGCGCGCGCGCGCGCACCACACACACACACACACACACACACACACACACACACACACACUGAAAAAAAAUAUUGUUUAAAAGUGAAGUUAGACUGAGUCCACGCCCCCUAUAUCUUGGGUCUCUUCCUCUGCCUCCUUUUUUGUAAAUUCUUCUGUGGGCUUGGUGGUGUGCCCCUGGUGAGAUGGGAAGACAAUGGGACCCUUGGAGCUUGCUGGCCAAGUACCCUAACUUACUCAGUGAAGUUCUUAGCCAAUGGGAGACGGUCUCAGAAAAAAAAAAGUCUUAGAAAUAUCCCCAGGUUGUCUCAUGAUCUUCAUUCUUACCACACAGAAAUACACACAUUUACACACAUAAAAUAAAUUAAAAUAUAAUAUAAAUUUAAACUUCACUUUUGGGUGAUCUUUAUUAUCUAUUGUGGGGGUGGAGCGCCCACAUACCAUUGCAUGUGAGUGAAAGUUAGGAGACAGUUUUUGAGCAUUCUCUCCUUUCACUGUGUGGGUCCAGCACCUCCAACUAUGUUCUCAGGAUUACAGUGGGGUGGGGGGACGCCUUUAUGACUGAGCCCAAUAAACUUCACUUUUAGAUGUGAAGUUGCUUAGUGAUGUAGGCUGGGUUGCCCUGACAGUCCCUGAAGUUGACGUGCAGAACUAAUUUAUAAUCCCAUCUGUGAGUUGGGUCUUCACAUUCCUGCAGCGCCCCCAGCUCCCGAUUAUGGUUAAGUGUAAUUACCAAGCAUGAACACUAGGGGGCAGCUCAUCACCACGAGUGUUUCCGAAGACCUACCUGGACUUGACAGGUUAGUAAAUUCCAUCUGGCUCCCUGUAAAAUCACAGGCGUGAGUGUUUGCAUUUAGAGCUGGAAGUCAAGUUAGAGAAGAGCCUGUGAAACUUCAGUGUGGUUGCAGACCAUUCAAGGUUAAUUGGUUAAUUGGUUUUAGUUUCAGUCUUUUGUUUUGGUUUUUUAGUAGUGUGUAUGUGCCUUCAGGUGGGUACAGGUGGGUGGGUGGGUGUGUACAUGAGCGCAGGUCAGAGGCGUUAGAUCUGAGCAGAGAUGGAGUACACUCUGUCUCUGUAAGGAAGUGGGUGCUCAGAAUUAUACUGAGGUCCUCUGCAAGAGUGGUCCAGGCUUCUAACCAAUGAGCUAUAUCUUGGCCCCCAAAGGUUCUUGUUUAACAAUAGAUUCUAAUUCUUCUGGUGGAGCCUGAAGACCUCCCGUCCCUCCCUCCCUCCCUUCUUCCCUCCCUCCCUCCUCUACAAGUUCCCCUGAGCAGAAGUGAGGGGCAUCUAUCCCCUUGGCUCCUAACAUGCUGGACUGGAAAGGUGUAGCACUAGACCUGCACGAUCUGGCUAAUGUGCAAACCAUGAGGUUAGUCAUGCAGGAGUAUUAGAUGAGCCCUCACUGAAGAGUAUUUAAAGCAAAGCAAAACAAAAAGUUGACCAGUGUUCUUUAAAAAUGUUAAUGUCGUGCAGGUAUGGCGGUAGUAGCUGCAUCCUGGCCCUUGGCUGGCAGGAGCUCAGAAAUUCCAAGCUACCUAAGGAGACCCUGUCUCAGGCAAAACAAGAACAACAUAUCGAAGGAGGCAGGGUAACACAACCUAUGGUCCCAGCACUCUUGAGAAGGAGGAAGAGGAGGAGGAGGAGGUAGAGGUGGAAGAGGAAGAAGAACCAAGGCCAGCCUGGGCUGUGUAGCAAACUUAAGGAGAGCCUUGGCUACAUGAUAAGAUGGUCUAAGAAAGCAAAACAACAACAAAAGUCAAGACAAAAAACCUGGAGCCAUUCUACAUCCUACUUCCACAGAUAUGGGGACAUUUUACUUGAUUUUUCUGAAGCAAAACAUGAUGGUAAAGAUGGACACUCAGCUUCCGGCGAGAGUUGGAGAGGAAGCGCUCUCAGACCAUCACGGGUGUGCCUGGAUGCAGGUGCAGUCUCCCAUCCUGAACAGUUCUUAACCUGGGGAUGAAGGACCGCCUACUUAUUUAUUGAAAGUACACAUUCUUUUUUCAAAGAUUUAUUUAUUAUAUGUAAGUACAGUGUAGCUGUCUUCAGAUGCUCCAGAAGAGGGCAUCAGAUCUCAUUAUGGGUGGUUGUGAGCCACCAUGUGGUUGCUGGAAUUUGAACUCAGAACCUUCGGAAGACCAGUCAGGGCUCUUAGCCGCUGAGCCAUCUCGCCAGCCCUAUUUUGAAAUCCUUUAGAGGCUAUAAUAAAAGCCAAGAUCAUUCUAGGAAUAACUUUCUACUAAAUUCUAUGUCAAGGGGAAAUAGCAGGUCCUGGUCCUGUUUUAAGGUAAAAGCAGAGGGGAAAAAGGAUGUUCUGGGCUAUAUUCAAAUUUCCCGUUUGUAACCAGGCAUGGUGGUGCACACCUUUAGUCCCAGAAGAGGUAGGUAGAUCUCUGUGAGUUCAAGACUAGCCUGGUCUCCAUAGCAAAUUCUAGGACAGCCAGAGAUACAUACAAAGAGGAAGACCCUGUCUCAAAAAAAUGUUAUUUUCUCCUUUGUAAAGGCUGUGUUCCUCUAAGAGGCCACACUCACCAGGAUCAUGCUUGGCUUUCUUUUUUCCGCCUUCACGCUUACACCCAUGUGCAAACUGCCUUUAUUCUAUGAGCCAGUCCUAAGAUUCAUAUUGAAGCCUUGAAUCCCAGUUUGUCCCGAGCUUUGUGGAACUUCUCUGGCUGCUGAGGGUGUCAAGGGCGAACCGUGCCUCUGUCCCCACCAGGGCCACCAUUCCAGAGUGCUCUUACUGAGAUCGCUGUCUGAUGGGUUUUCCUGCCUGUUCCUGCUGAUCUCCCCUGCUCAGCACCACUUGCUGGUUACUUUGGGUUAUUUAGCUUCUGUUUCUCCAGCCGCUUAAUGCACGUCGAUUGCCAAUAUAGCACCGAAACUAGAACUCCUCUACCGAUGGUUCUCGACCUUCCGAAUGCUGCGAUCCCUUAAUACUGUCCCUCACGGUGUGCUGACCCCCAACCAUGACAUUAUGGCGGUUGCUACUUUAUAAGUCUAAUUUUGCCACGAUUAUGAAGUGUAACGUAAACAGCUGUGGUUUUCGAUGGUGUUUGGGGGCCGUGACCCAUAGGUUGAGAAUGGCUGCGUAGACUCAGCCAUACUCCUCCGUUCCUGGGUUUCAGUAACAGUGCAUGGCUUUGAGAGGAUGCCAUCUCAAGACUUAAUUCCACACACAUCUGAAGCCAGUCUCUUGCCUCCAGAGAGCAGCCCAGGACUCGAUGGGAACAACUUCCCUGAUGGGGCCUGUUCGGGAUAGCUGUGACCAUCCGUCUGUGCAGACUUCCUCUAAACCUGGAGUCCCAGAUCUUUGCUGCGUUUUUUUGCUUAUCUACCAUCUCUGACAAUGUCUGUAAAAUUAGCUAUUUCUGGGAUGUGUGGGAAGCCACAUGUGCCAUUGCAGAGUGGCACUGGCUACUGCUGGCCACCACGCAUAAGUUUGGACAAACAACCAAUGUGUACAUAUGCAGUAAAGUUUUUUGCAAAGACACUGCCUGGCCUUUGAGAGUAUAACCAAUCAGAUGUGAGACAUGCAAAUGAGGUAUGAUAAUGAGGCUCUGUGAGGUACCAGCGUCGUUCUUGCUGGUCGAGUUAGGCGCCGCAAGAGGGAUGAGUGUGUGUGUGUGGGGGGGGGGGGGGCGGAGGAGUGGAACGCAUCUGCUGACUUCUUCCCCUAUGAUGGCCUCAGGAAGAGAGAGUUCUAGAACCUCUGUAGCGAAUAUAGAUUUAA